rnacentral:rRNA from 1 species
GGUUUUUAGAAAUUAUUAAAAAUCUGGCCUGCUCAAUGCUUAAGUAAAUAGCCGCGGUAUCAUGACCGUGCAAAGGUAGCAUAAUCAUUUGUCUUUUAAUUUGAGACUGGAAUGAAAGGUUAGACUAUGUAGUUUUGUCUUAUAAUAAUAUUUUGAAAUUUAUAUUUUAGUAAAAAAGCUAAAAUUUUUCUUAAAGACGAGAAGACCCUAUCAAGCUUUACAAUUAUAGUUUAUUUUCAAAUUAAAUGAAAAAUUGUUUUGCUGGGGCAGCAAAUAAAAAAUUUUUAUUUAAAUAUUGUGAUAAAUAAAUCUUGAUAAAUCAAAAAUUUUUUAAAAAAGAAUAAGUUACUGUAGGGAUAACAGCAUAAUUUUUUUAAAGAGUUCUUAUCAUCAAAAAAGUUUGUGACCUCGAUGUUGGAUUAAGAGACCUAAUUCGUGCAAUAAUGAAGAAAGGAAGUCUGUUCGACUUUUAAAUUCUUCCA